AUGAGCUUCGCGGUGGACGCCGCGGCGGAGCUCGGCGUGCCGUGCCCGCUCUUCUGGACCGCGAGCGCGUGCGGUUACAUGGGCUAUUACAACUUCCGGUUCCUCAUGGAGAAAGGCCUCACUCCGCUUAAAGGUGAAGAGAAACUGACGAACGGCUACCUGGACACGCCGGUGACAAAUGCUCUCGGCAUGACAAAGCACAUGUGCCUCCGGGACUUCCCGUCCUUCGUCCACACUCAGGGUGGACACGGUCCGGGCCGGUCCGGUCCCUGA
rnacentral:rRNA from 1 species